rnacentral:rRNA from 1 species
GCAGUUCGACGAUGAUGCCCAGCUUGCUGGGUGGAUUAGUGGCGAACGGGUGAGUAAUACGUGAGUAACCUGCCCUUGACUCUGGGAUAAGCCUGGGAAACUGGGUCUAAUACUGGAUACUACCGUUCAUCGCAUGGUGGGUGGUGGAAAGGGUUUUACUGGUUUUGGAUGGGCUCACGGCCUAUCAGCUUGUUGGUGGGGUAAUGGCUCACCAAGGCGACGACGGGUAGCCGGCCUGAGAGGGUGACCGGCCACACUGGGACUGAGACACGGCCCAGACUCCUACGGGAGGCAGCAGUGGGGAAUAUUGCACAAUGGGCGGAAGCCUGAUGCAGCGACGCCGCGUGAGGGAUGACGGCCUUCGGGUUGUAAACCUCUUUCAGUAGGGAAGAAGCGCAAGUGACGGUACCUGCAGAAGAAGCGCCGGCUAACUACGUGCCAGCAGCCGCGGUAAUACGUAGGGCGCAAGCGUUGUCCGGAAUUAUUGGGCGUAAAGAGCUCGUAGGCGGUUUGUCGCGUCUGCUGUGAAAGCCCGGGGCUCAACCCCGGGUCUGCAGUGGGUACGGGCAGACUAGAGUGCAGUAGGGGAGACUGGAAUUCCUGGUGUAGCGGUGAAAUGCGCAGAUAUCAGGAGGAACACCGAUGGCGAAGGCAGGUCUCUGGGCUGUUACUGACGCUGAGGAGCGAAAGCAUGGGGAGCGAACAGGAUUAGAUACCCUGGUAGUCCAUGCCGUAAACGUUGGGCACUAGGUGUGGGGGACAUUCCACGUUUUCCGCGCCGUAGCUAACGCAUUAAGUGCCCCGCCUGGGGAGUACGGCCGCAAGGCUAAAACUCAAAGGAAUUGACGGGGGCCCGCACAAGCGGCGGAGCAUGCGGAUUAAUUCGAUGCAACGCGAAGAACCUUACCAAGGCUUGACAUUCACCGGACCGCUCCAGAGAUGGGGUUUCCCUUCGGGGUCGGUGGACAGGUGGUGCAUGGUUGUCGUCAGCUCGUGUCGUGAGAUGUUGGGUUAAGUCCCGCAACGAGCGCAACCCUCGUUCUAUGUUGCCAGCACGUGAUGGUGGGGACUCAUAGGAGACUGCCGGGGUCAACUCGGAGGAAGGUGGGGAUGACGUCAAAUCAUCAUGCCCCUUAUGUCUUGGGCUUCACGCAUGCUACAAUGGCCGGUACAAAGGGUUGCGAUACUGUGAGGUGGAGCUAAUCCCAAAAAGCCGGUCUCAGUUCGGAUUGAGGUCUGCAACUCGACCUCAUGAAGUCGGAGUCGCUAGUAAUCGCAGAUCAGCAACGCUGCGGUGAAUACGUUCCCGGGCCUUGUACACACCGCCCGUCAAGUCACGAAAGUUGGUAACACCCGAAGCCGGUGGCCUAACCCCUGUGGGAGGGAGCCGUCGAA